rnacentral:rRNA from 1 species
CAAUAGCGUAUAUUAAAGUUGUUGCAGUUAAAAAGCUCGUAGUUGGAUUUGUGGCGUACGGUGGGUUCCGGGCACUUGUUGUCUGAGUAACUUGCUGUUGCCAUCCUUGGGUGGAACCUGUGUGGCAUUAGGUUGUCGUGCAGGGGAUGCCCAUCAUUUACUGUGAAAAAAUUAGAGUGUUCAAAGCAGGCUUAUGCCGUUGAAUAUAUUAGCAUGGAAUAAUGAGAUAGGACUUUUUUGCUAUUUUGUUGGUUUGCGCAAAGAGGCAAUGAUUAAUAGGGACAGUUGGGGGUAUUCGUAUUCCAUUGUCAGAGGUGAAAUUCUUGGAUUUUUGGAAGACGAACUACUGCGAAAGCAUUUACCAAGGAUGUUUUCAUUAA